rnacentral:rRNA from 1 species
UAGGGAAUAUUGCAAAAUGGGCGAAAGCCCGAUGCAGCAACGCCGCGUGGGCGAUGAAGGCCUUCGGGUCGUAAAGCCCUUUUUGAGGGGAUGAGGAAGGACAGUACCCUCAGAAUAAGCCUCGGCUAACUACGUGCCAGCAGCCGCGGUAAAACGUAGGAGGCGAGCGUUAUCCGGACUUAUUGGGCGUAAAGCGCGUGCAGGCGGAUUGGAGAGUUGGAUGUGAAAGCUCCCGGCUUAACUGGGAGAGGUCGUUCAAUACUUCCAGUCUUGAGUGCAGUAGAGGGAAGUGGAAUUCCGGGUGUAGUGGUGAAAUGCGUAGAUAUCCGGAGGAACACCAGUGGCGAAAGCGGCUUCCUGGACUGUAACUGACGCUCAGACGCGAAAGCUAGGGUAGCAAACG